UACCCAGAGUCAUUAAACUACAGCUCAUGUUGAUUUUCAUCUUAUGUCUGAGGCUUUGUUCUCUUUGCUUCAUAGGAAGAAUUAAGACCAGAAGGUAGGAUGGAGGUCACCCACUAUUUAAUUAUUUGAUAUUCUUCAGUUCAAGGAGAGAUUUGGAGUGGCUACUUCUUCGUGAUAUAAGACACAUAAGUUUUCCAUGUCUGUAAGUGGUCCAUUUUCAGACUAAUCUAGACCAGUUCUUGCCAAAUCUAUACAUGGAGAAAUGCUUUUACAUCAAUGACGACACUGCAGUGAAAAUAACAGACAUCUCCUAUUUAACUGUCCCUUUAUACUUUCCAAAGGAUUUUUCCUUUCUUACUUCGACUGUUUCCAAAGCAUCAUAACGUUCCUGGUUCCAUUUAGUGUACAUACACUGGCAGAGAAUCAAAAAGAAGGUGAGUCUCAAUCCAGGGACAUCACUUUCCAAGGAUGCUUCUGUGCCCCUCCCUCAGUUCUAGAGUUCCCAUUUGUCUUCUUUCUCUUCUGCCAAGUUGUCUGCAGUCACUGGAUAUGAGUCUAUAGCAAUGAAAGAUGGCAUACAAAAGACAACUUUGAAGAGAUGAACAGCUCAAUUUUUACCAAGGUCUUUUCUUGGGCUCUAACAUGGUGAAAGAGAGAGUUGUAAAAAUUGAAGUUAUCACAGGAAGAAAAGAGCAGUAACUUAAAACAAUGUGUUUAAAAUUAACAAUAAAAUUUAAAAUGCUGACA
rnacentral:lncRNA from 1 species